rnacentral:lncRNA from 1 species
CAACCCAACCAGUACCUCAAAUAAUUCAAUUCAACGUGCACAUGAAAAUUUGAUAAAAUCGAUUUAAACGCCGUCAUAACCGACAAUUGCAUUUUUUUCAAACCACAAGGUUGAAAAAAAAAAAAAAAAAAAGGUUUUAUGAAAAAUAAGUCACCGGCGCAUAUAUUUAUUUCAAUAUGGGGCCACAGGAAAACCCAGGUCUAACGUUUCACGACACACGUGAAGGCUCCCACUAACUUGCACCGGCUGACAUCAGCGUCGCACGUGGAUGAUCCACGAUGACGUGGACAUUGAAUCCACCGUUAAACUGUCGGCUCAGCGACCAAGAGAAAAGAGGAGGAAAACCAAGCGGAGCCGUCGACUGCACACGGUUCCCCAUGACAGUUGGUCCCCAUAUGACUCGCACGUGCGUCCAAAACAGGUGACGCAAGCAGUGACUAAAUCACAGAGUGUGGGCUCUCGACACGCAUACACUCACACUUCAUAAUCCGCCACGUGUCCGGCUGCGGUCAGAAUGGUGGCUAUUCCCCUAGAACAACCGAAGAAAUAUUAUCGCCCACGUGUAUUCUAAUAACCACCGUUCCCACCUGCCACGUGUCCUCUUUUUCUCUAUAAAUUCCUCGCUCUCCCUUCCGGUCUAAGUUUCAAGCGCCGUCUUGGCUCAGAGCAAAGCCGUGAGAGAAGAGAAAAAAAAGGUCAGGGAGAAACAUUCAUUCAAGAGAGGAAGGAGAGAGAAGCUAAUAUGACAGCGGAGUUGCAGUUACCUCCAGGCUUCAGGUUCCAUCCGACGGAUGAGGAGCUUGUGAUGCACUAUCUGUGCCGUAAAUGUGCAUCGCAAUCGAUCGCCGUGCCGAUCAUUGCCGAAAUUGAUCUCUACAAAUUCGAUCCCUGGCAGCUUCCUGGUAAUUAUUAUUAUUUUCAUUUUUUUGUUAUUUUUUUCUGAACUCCCAAAAUUUGGAUUUUUAUUUAAGGGGGAUUUGGUGAUUUGAACAGAGAUGGCCUUGUACGGAGAGAAAGAGUGGUACUUCUUUUCGCCGAGAGAUCGGAAAUAUCCGAACGGUUCAAGGCCGAACCGGGCAGCGGGAACAGGGUACUGGAAGGCCACCGGAGCGGAUAAGCCUAUUGGGCAUCCGAAGCCGGUUGGGAUUAAGAAGGCUUUGGUUUUUUAUGCCGGAAAAGCCCCCAGGGGAGAGAAGACAAAUUGGAUUAUGCAUGAAUACCG